rnacentral:misc_RNA from 1 species
CUACUUGAACUACUGCAUUUACUGUUCUUUUGGGCUGCAUCUUUCUCUAUCUCUACUGGAGGGUAACUUGAAAUAGCAGGAUCGUUUCCACCAACGAUAUCUAUAUCUUCAUCAACUGGUUCAUUGCCUUUGCAAGGUUGCAAUGACGAAUUGCUAAAUCCAGACUCAUUAAGAAGCUCCAUUUCACAUGCUUCUGCUUUGGCCUGGUUUUUCCGUUUCUCGAGUAAAUAAUCAUCCAAAAGCUUCCGCAAUUUAAACAAUGUAUCAUCACUGAGAGCAUCAAUAUCAAUCUCAAUUUCA